rnacentral:rRNA from 1 species
AUUGAACGCUGGCGGCAUGCUUUACACAUGCAAGUCGAACGGUAACAGGGAGCUUGCUCCGCUGACGAGUGGCGAACGGGUGAGUAAUGCGUCGGAACGUGCCGAGUAGUGGGGGAUAACGCAUCGAAAGGUGUGCUAAUACCGCAUACGAACUGAGGUUGAAAGUGGGGGACCUUCGGGCCUCACGCUAUUCGAGCGGCCGACGUCUGAUUAGCUAGUUGGUGAGGUAAAGGCUCACCAAGGCGACGAUCAGUAGCGGGUCUGAGAGGAUGAUCCGCCACACUGGGACUGGGACACGGCCCAGACUCCUACGGGAGGCAGCAGUGGGGAAUUUUGGACAAUGGGCGCAAGCCUGAUCCAGCCAUGCCGCGUGUCUGAAGGAGGCCUUCGGGUUGUAAAGGACUUUUGUCCGGGAGCAAAUGCUGGUGGCUAACAUCCACCGGAGCUGAGAGUACCGGAAGAAUAAGCACCGGCUAACUACGUGCCAGCCGCCGCCGUAACAC